UAGGUGCUAUUCUCAUGAUGCCAGCUGUGUGGCUUUGCAAUCAGACCUUGUUGGGAGAGUCUGAUUUAAUGAUGCUCAAGUGACAGGACCAGUGAGACCGUCACAGGGCGGAGCUGAUGUGGUUUUCAGAGAGAAGCUGAUGUCAUGGUUUUUAUAAGCAGCUAGGGAAUGGCAAGUCAUGAAGAGAGGGGGCCAUUAGCAGGCUCAGGAAACGCAAAGCUGGCUCUCUUUAAUGUGCGAUGACGGAUGGGAAUGAGCUGUACGGUGGCGACCAUUUCACAAGAUCUACAUAUAUUGAAUCAGUAUGUCAUACACCUGAAACUAAUAUAAUGUCAUAUGUCCAUUAUACCUUAAUUAAAAAAAAAACCAAACUGGUUCUCUUUGGAAAGGGAGAAAAGAGAACCAACUCAAAGGGAAACAAAGAAAAUUUUUUAAGAAGCCACACUCAUUUUUCAAAGGUCUUUGAUUUUUUAAUGCUAGUAAUAUGUGAGUGUUUUUAGGAACUGUUAUAAAAACAGCUUCUUCCUAAAGUCGGAAUUACAGAUGCUUCUACAGACUUCUUUAGAUGCUUCCUAGAGGUAACCUUAAUACUCCCAUCGUACAGGAGGAACAUUCUGGGUUUAAGAGGCUCCUGCUGAUCUCAUUCCAGUCCUCACCAGGAUGGAACUCGGGAAUUCCAUGGCUCCUUCCUCUGGAACCUCCCCAUGGCUUGUUCUACCUGCGUCCUAUGGAGUGUGGAUCAGCCCUACUUCUGCAGGGCAAGAAAGUGGCUUCCAAGCAGGAUUGUGGCCUCUCAGGGGUGUAAAUUCUCUUUGGAAAAACCCAUAGCAUAGGGUAAAAGUUCUCUUGGCAAAAUGAAAAAACAAACAAACAAACAAACAAACCCAAUUGGUUGGCUUCCCCAGAGAUAGGGCCCAGGUAUUGUGGGGCAGGGCCCCAAGUUCAAGUUCCUUGUCCUUGCUAGGGAAUCAGCUGUGCCUACCUCUGUAACCCAGAUGCCAGAAAGGUGGAGCUUCCCUAAGCAGAAGCACAAAAUGCAAGUGCGAAUCUGGGUGUCUCCAAAAAAGCAGGACGACAGAGAAGCAAGCCACUGCCCUGACAAAGCCUUCUCCGUGCCCUCUCGAGAGAAUAGAGAGACCACAUAUGUAGCCUCAAGCAAGACCGGCACACCUCACCCCACCAUGCGCCCGUCUCAUGCCUGCAUGCUGUGUCCCAGGCCCAAGCUGCAAGCCCCUCACUCCCUUCUGCUUCAUGCCUGGUCACAGUCCCUCUCUGGAACCUUCCUCUCAGCUGGGGCCUGGAAGAAAGCGUGUGAAUGAAGGAAUUCAAACCAAGAUGAGCGUGAUGGAUAGCCUCUCAGGGCUAUUUGUAUUUUAAAAGAGAAGCCCCUCUCUCUGGGAAAUGCAGCUCCAAAGAUAGACCUCAGAUGUUAGGGGCGAGGAGCCAGGCCAGCUGCAUGGAGCUGUGUUCUAGCCAAGUGACUGACUGUCUGCUCUCAGGCCGUCUUGUGGAACUGCCACAAACUCCCAGCUCUGCAGAGAGCCUUCCCAUUUCUUCCAGUCCACACUGAGAGUCAGAGAGAAAAAGAGAUUCUGUGGUUUGGGCCCUGCAUGCUGAAUCGUAGAUCUCUGUGCUUGAGCUGGCACUGUAUGGACAUGCAUAGUCUAUCAGUGUUGAAAAUAGUUGUUCAAAGACAUCUGAGGCCCCAAAGGACACUUUUCAGGUCAAACUUGGCCAGUGAUUCUAAGGCUUCAGAGUUCCCUGGAAUUUUAAGAAAUCCCGAUAUUAUCCUGAAACUCUUCUGGGCUUACACCCACCAUCUCCAGAGUUAGAGUUGAUCGGCAAACACGGAUUGCUUUUUCAGGGAAAGAGCGGGCAGCCCCAAAGCUCUUUGACAAAGCCAGUGAGAAGAGAGGAGACUUGAGGUAAGCCUGGCGCCCACCUGGGGGAGAGGACCAUGCCUGGGGGGUGGGCGAAGCCCCGCAGAGCUGAUGUGUCACCUGAUGAGAUUUCUUUGAUCCGAACAGGACGUUCCCGCCACAGUCUGGAUCCGAACCACCUCAGGACAGAGUUCUCUUUUGCUCUGAGUGGCCAAAUACCACAAGCGUCACUCGACUUUGAGAUUAUGUAACGCCGACAUUCCAAAGCUGACAUGUGGCUGUGAGGACAGACACGGUGUCUGUUCGAAGGUGUCAGCCCCAGACGGGCACUGGUGUCUAAAGAGAGUGUCAAAUCAUUUUCAGCUGGAGAGGAUUGCCUGGCAAAGCAUUUUUUUCCCCCCUCCAGAGAUUUUUGUUUACAGGAUUUAACAAUGAAAAAAGAAAAAAAACCACACACACACACACACACACAAUUGCUCAUUGUUCGGCUUGCGGCACAAAGGUCAGCUCGGGGCACCCAGUAGUUUUCCAAUUUCUGACCCUUUUUGAUCCCACGGUGCAGAUCAGCAGAUAAGGAGUUUUAUUUUAAGGCAGCAAAAUGCAAAGUAAGAGACAAUGGGUAGAAAUGUUGUGAAUGACUGUCCAACAGAAGUAUCUGUCCAGCUGAUGGGGGAAAGCCCUGCUUGUCCAAACUGAAUGACAUUUUUUAUAGCUUUUAGAAAGCAUAUGCUGUCAGGGACACUGUAUUGCUGGGGCAAUGGGUGUCGGUGCCCAAAUCCUCUGUUCGUGGGAGGCAAAAACACACUGACAUGAUGUGGUUCUUGUAAGAUGUGUGAUGCACAGUCAACUCAGUGGCUCUGUGAGAUCUAGAAGCAGGGACUAGAGUGUUAGAGAUAAUUUGGUUCAGCUUUUCAAGUUUAAAUUCAUUUUAAAUAGAUGAAGCAACUGAGACCCAGAAGUGACAAGUCCAAGUUCACACAUCACAGCAGCAUCUAGAACUUCCUUUCCACUGACUAAUCCUACUUGGAGUUUAUAAACUCUUCCACCACAAGAUCAAACACUGGAAUUCCUUUCCAUGACCUAGAGUACUUUUGCCGUAGCAAAUCUGCGAAAGAAAAGUAAAGGCAAGGCAAUGGUUAAGACCCUUAUGAUAACACCCUGGCCAGAAAGUGGGAGCAGAUUAGGCUCUCCAUCGAAGCAUUUUAAAAAGCCAGACAUGUUACUGGUUGGAAGAAUUUUUCUGGAAAUGGACAUUUUAUUUCCUAAGAUGAAAAAAAGCAAGGCACAAUUUAUUAAAUACAAAGGUACAUGUGACUAUUCUUUGAUGCAAUUCCAGAAAAAAGUUUGUCCAGGCAGGAGUUGUUGGCUUAGCAUUUGUGGAAUCUCUCUCCUAACUGUGAUUGUUGGGCCAUAACGGCAACAGGACACACAGGCGACCACCCUGGUAUUGCCCCCAGUCCCAUACCUCUCUGCUCCCUUCUCGGGGGGAGUUUAAUUCUGGCUGAGCUGACAGGUGCAGGAAGGAGCCAGGUGGAGGGAGGGUUGAGGCCUCUGGAGCUGGCCGUUCGGGAACACUGACCGUGUUGUCCACGGAGAACUGCUUCUAAAUGGCUUUCAAAGCCCUCGGGUUUGUUCAGAGAAAAUCCCGCUGGCAUUGAUGGAUCUCUCCUCCUCUGGAAAGAAUGAAAUGAUUCAUGCUGAACAUGGGACAGGCUCAAGUACUCCGGCUCGGAUCCACUCCUGGCUGGAGGUGCCCCAUGUGUGAUGAGGUCAUCUUGCUGGGGCACACAAAAGGUUCUGGGUGGGGGGUGGUGGUGGGGUGAGGGGGUUACACACUAGACAGCGGCCAUUCAUAGCCUUCAUUCCUCCUGGUGCUUACGGGUCACAAUGAACCUUCUCAGCAUUACACGGGCACUACAAGACCGAGCCGGUUCAGAAGCUUUUCAAUGGAACCCCCCCUGAGGCUAGCAAUGCAUUUAUUAUAAUGUCUUGGCCCUAAGAAGGGCCUGGGAACAGAUUGGAGUGGCCUAUAAUUAAGUACAUUUAAUAAUAAAGGCACAAACUUCUUAGGUAUUCCAAGAAGUGAAAAUUAUACUCUUCUCAGCUCCUCUCUCUCUACUCCCCUCCCCCACCAUCUUUCCCUUUUACAAAUAAGUCAGGAGUCACAUGUUUUUCUUUGUUUGUUUGUUUGUUUGAAAUGAUAAUUGCAAGGAUGUCUGGCCAGUGGGGAAAGGGAAAUUGAAUUACGUGAGAACAUUCUUCCCAUGUUUAAAAAAAUGGCCUCUGCUAAUUCAGGUAGUUAGGGCACAGGCAGGAUUUGUUAAAAGGCCAUUCCGUUAGGGACUUGCGGAUUCCGGGCAAAGCAUUUUGGGGCUGUGGCCCUCUCGCAGAGGGGACACCCUCAAGGGGUUCAAGUUGUUGCUUAGCCUAGGAAGGCCCAGUGGGAGGUGUCCCUCCAGCAGUGGCUUCUACCCUCGGUCCCCACGCGCUCCUCUGAGUGCCUGAAUGGGUUCACGGAGAGUCCCGGGGAGAGAAGAGAGCUCUCUGAACCGUGGUCAGGCUGCAAGAAAAGGAGCAAAAUCUGCAAGAGCUCAUCUUCGAGGUGGGAAGAAAGCACGAAGGGGGCUAGCCCAGCCCUGAGCUGCCCCGCCUGACUGUGAGGAAAAGUAAGACGAGCCAUGCGAACUCACUGGACGGGACUGCAUGGGAAUCUGAUCGUUUUUAUUUCUUUGACAGCUGAUAGGGAGUUGGGGUGGAGAAACAAACGGGUGUUUUCUUUCCUCUGACUGACUAAAAUGAAAUGAGCCUGUACAAUUUCAUGCUAUAUAGGCAAAUAAGGUAAUAUUAUUAACAAGACUGAUUUUUCCAACUUGCGACAAGCAAGUACCCAUCCACUGGUGCUCCCCGCCAUUUUGCCUGCAUCACUGGUGGAGAGGAACUUCUUUUAUGGUUGAACAGAGCCUGACUCUGGCUGUAGCAUUUGAUUGUAAACAAAAUGACAUCAGGCCUGUUGAUAAAUAAAGGUCAGCCUAAGGUAGGUGGAAAUAAGGUACACUUGGAAAGAAAAAAGAACGAAUCUUGAAAAAAAGGUUUUUUUUUGUGUGUGUGUGCGUUUUUUUUUUUUUUUAACAGCUAAAGAAAUCUCCAGUUCCCAUUAAUUCAAACAUGCUGCCUUGUUUUUACUCUGCUUUAAGUAAAACCAUAAGCGUUUGUUAUUUCAAGCAUUACGUUUUUGACACUGAAGUAUGUGGAACUUG